rnacentral:rRNA from 1 species
GACGAACGCUGGCGGCGUGCUUAACACAUGCCAGUCGAACGGUGAAGCUCCAGCUUGCUGGAGUGGAUCAGUGGCAAACGGGUGAGUAACACGUGAGCAACCUGCCCCUGACUCUGGAAUAAGCGCUGGAAACGGCGUCUAAUACUGGAUACGAGAAGGGUCCGCAUGGGCACUUUCUGGAAAGUUUUUCGGUUGGGGAUGGGCUCGCGGCCUAUCAGCUUGUUGGUGAGGUAAUGGCUCACCAAGGCGACGACGGGUAGCCGGCCUGAGAGGGCGACCGGCCACACUGGGACUGAGACACGGCCCAGACUCCUACGGGAGGCAGCAGUGGGGAAUAUUGCACAAUGGGCGAAAGCCUGAUGCAGCGACGCCGCGUGAGGGAUGACGGCCUUCGGGUUGUAAACCUCUUUCAGCAGGGAAGAAGCGAAAGUGACGGUACCUGCAGAAGAAGCACCGGCUAACUACGUA